UAAUAAAGUAUCAGAGGUCUUCAAAGGUAUGUAUAUAUUGGUCAGAAACCAAUAAAUCAUGAAUAAUUUAAUAAAAUAUAAUGAUAAAACAUACUUAACUGAAAGAUUGAUAAAUCGAUCAGAUAUGCAAAUAGACAUAGUGAUCCGGUAAUCCUUAAUGGAAUGAUUAUCGCUCAAGAAAUAAAAACAGGUUCAUCGUUUGCGAGAGUUCAUAUUGUCCAAACGGUUUGACACCUCGAUAAAAAAAAAGAGUCAAUGUCGAGGCUAAAUUGGGUUAAUUGCAGGAAAAACUUACUAAUUAACUCAUUAGUUGCGACGCCUCCGAGCCCGCGCACGCGAUGGAGGUAGAGGAUGUCCCAACGUCGAAGGAUCUCGAUGACCGGCCGAUCGGCGCCGAAUGGAUCGUCUGGCCGAUCGCA
rnacentral:ncRNA from 1 species